UUAAGUUAUUAAGGGCGCACGGUGGAUGCCUUGGCACUAGAAGCCGAUGAAGGACGUUACUAACGACGAUAUGCUUUGGGGAGCUGUAAGUAAGCUUUGAUCCAGAGAUUUCCGAAUGGGGAAACCCAGCAUGAGUUAUGUCAUGUUAUCGAUAUGUGAAUACAUAGCAUAUCAGAAGGCACACCCGGAGAACUGAAACAUCUUAGUACCCGGAGGAAGAGAAAGAAAAUUCGAUUCCCUUAGUAGCGGCGAGCGAACGGGAAGAGCCCAAACCAACAAACUUGCUUGUUGGGGUUGUAGGACACUCUAUACGGAGUUACAAAGGACGACAUUAGACGAAUCAUCUGGAAAGAUGAAUCAAAGAAGGUAAUAAUCCUGUAGUCGAAAAUGUUGUCUCUCUUGAGUGGAUCCUGAGUACGACGGAGCACGUGAAAUUCCGUCGGAAUCUGGGAGGACCAUCUCCUAAGGCUAAAUACUCUCUAGUGACCGAUAGUGAACCAGUACCGUGAGGGAAAGGUGAAAAGCACCCCGGAAGGGGAGUGAAAUAGAACCUGAAACCGUGUGCUUACAAGUAGUCAGAGCCCGUUAAUGGGUGAUGGCGUGCCUUUUGUAGAAUGAACCGGCGAGUUACGAUUUGAUGCAAGGUUAAGCAGUAAAUGUGGAGCCGUAGCGAAAGCGAGUCUGAAUAGGGCGUUUAGUAUUUGGUCGUAGACCCGAAACCAGGUGAUCUACCCUUGGUCAGGUUGAAGUUCAGGUAACACUGAAUGGAGGACCGAACCGACUUACGUUGAAAAGUGAGCGGAUGAACUGAGGGUAGCGGAGAAAUUUCAAUCGAACCUGGAGAUAGCUGGUUCUCUCCGAAAUAGCUUUAGGGCUAGCCUCAAGUGAUGAUUAUUGGAGGUAGAGCACUGUUUGGACGAGGGGCCCCUCUCGGGUUACCGAAUUCAGACAAACUCCGAAUGCCAAUUAAUUUAACUUGGGAGUCAGAACAUGGGUGAUAAGGUCCGUGUUCGAAAGGGAAACAGCCCAGACCACCAGCUAAGGUCCCAAAAUAUAUGUUAAGUGGAAAAGGAUGUGGCGUUGCCCAGACAACUAGGAUGUUGGCUUAGAAGCAGCCAUCAUUUAAAGAGUGCGUAAUAGCUCACUAGUCGAGUGACACUGCGCCGAAAAUGUACCGGGGCUAAACAUAUUACCGAAGCUGUGGAUUGUCCUUUGGACAAUGGUAGGAGAGCGUUCUAAGGGCGUUGAAGCAUGAUCGUAAGGACAUGUGGAGCGCUUAGAAGUGAGAAUGCCGGUGUGAGUAGCGAAAGACGGGCGAGAAUCCCGUCCACCGAUUGACUAAGGUUUCCAGAGGAAGGCUCGUCCGCUCUGGGUUAGUCGGGUCCUAAGCUGAGGCCGACAGGCGUAGGCGAUGGAUAACAGGUUGAUAUUCCUGUACCACCUAUAAUCGUUUUAAUCGAUGGGGGGACGCAGUAGGAUAGGCGAAGCGUGCGAUUGGAUUGCACGUCUAAGCAGUAAGGCUGAGUAUUAGGCAAAUCCGGUACUCGUUAAGGCUGAGCUGUGAUGGGGAGAAGACAUUGUGUCUUCGAGUCGUUGAUUUCACACUGCCGAGAAAAGCCUCUAGAUAGAAAAUAGGUGCCCGUACCGCAAACCGACACAGGUAGUCAAGAUGAGAAUUCUAAGGUGAGCGAGCGAACUCUCGUUAAGGAACUCGGCAAAAUGACCCCGUAACUUCGGGAGAAGGGGUGCUCUUUAGGAUUAACGCCCAGAAGAGCCGCAGUGAAUAGGCCCAAGCGACUGUUUAUCAAAAACACAGGUCUCUGCUAAACCGUAAGGUGAUGUAUAGGGGCUGACGCCUGCCCGGUGCUGGAAGGUUAAGAGGAGUGGUUAGCUUCUGCGAAGCUACGAAUCGAAGCCCCAGUAAACGGCGGGCGGAACUAUAACGGUCCUAAGGUAGCGAAAUUCCUUGUCGGGUAAGUUCCGACCCGCACGAAAGGCGUAACGAUUUGGGCACUGUCUCAACGAGAGACUCGGUGAAAUCAUAGUACCUGUGAAGAUGCAGGUUACCCGCGACAGGACGGAAAGACCCCGUGGAGCUUUACUGUAGCCUGAUAUUGAAAUUCGGCACAGCUUGUACAGGAUAGGGAGGAGCCUUUGAAACGUGAGCGCUAGCUUACGUGGAGGCGCUGGUGGGAUACUACCCUAGCUGUGUUGGCUUUCUAACCCGCACCACUUAUCGUGGUGGGAGACAGUGUCAGGCGGGCAGUUUGACUGGGGCGGUGGGCUCCUAAAAGGUAACGGAGGCGCUCAAAGGUUCCCUCAGAAUGGUUGGAAAUCAUUCAUAGAGUGUAAAGGCAUAAGGGAGCUUGACUGCGAGACCUACAAGUCGAGCAGGGUCGAAAGACGGACUUAGUGAUCCGGUGGUUCCGCAUGGAAGGGCCAUCGCUCAACGGAUAAAAGCUACCCCGGGGAUAACAGGCUUAUCUCCCCCAAGAGUUCACAUCGACGGGGAGGUUUGGCACCUCGAUGUCGGCUCAUCGCAUCCUGGGGCUGUAGUCGGUCCCAAGGGUUGGGCUGUUCGCCCAUUAAAGCGGUACGCGAGCUGGGUUCAGAACGUCGUGAGACAGUUCGGUCCCUAUCCGUCGUGGGCGUAGGAAAUUUGAGAGGAGCUGUCCUUAGUACGAGAGGACCGGGAUGGACAUACCUCUGGUGUACCAGUUGUCGUGCCAACGGCAUAGCUGGGUAGCUAUGUGUGGACGGGAUAAGUGCUGAAAGCAUCUAAGCAUGAAGCCCCCCUCAAGAUGAGAUUUCCCAACUUCGGUUAUAAGAUCCCUCAAAGAUGAUGAGGUUAAUAGGUUCGAGGUGGAAGCAUGGUGACAUGUGGAGCUGACGAAUACUAAUCGAUCGAAGACUUAAUCAA
rnacentral:rRNA from 1 species